rnacentral:rRNA from 1 species
UACGAAGGGGGCUAGCGUUGCUCGGAAUCACUGGGCGUAAAGGGUGCGUAGGCGGGUCUUUAAGUCAGGGGUGAAAUCCUGGAGCUCAACUCCAGAACUGCCUUUGAUACUGGCGAGCUUGGGUCCGGGAGAGGUGAGUGGAACUGCGAGUGUAGAGGUGAAAUUCGUAGAUAUUCGCAAGAACACCAGUGGCGGAGGCGGCUCACUGGCCCGGUACUGACGCUGAGGUGCGAAAGCGUGGGGAGCAAACAGG